rnacentral:misc_RNA from 1 species
UGGUCUUUCAAUCAUCACUUAAUCGUCCUUUUCUGCCAUUGUUGCGAAACCUUAACUGUUCGCUCUAUUCACUCUCUCUUGUCUUUUGCUCUCUCUGUUUCUGUUCCCUCUCUCUCUCCCUCUGUGUUUGUUUUCAGUGCCAGGAGCUCUGGUUCUGCAAGAAGAGAUUCCGAUUACAGAGCUGCGAGUUUCUUUAGCAAGCACAACAAUUACACACCUCUCUUAUUGGUAUGUUUUUAAUACCCUUUUCUGUGUUUUUAUUAUUUCUGUUAAUGGAUUUUUAUCUGAACGCAAACGCAGAAGGAAAGUUUGGAUCUUUGUUUUUAAUUUCUCUGCAUGACAAGGUGCCUAAGGGUUUGUUUUAGAAUUAGAUAACGUUGUUGAAACCGAGUUCUACAUGCUCUUCAAGUCUUUCUUGAACUUGGGGAUUUUUCACGUUUUGAAUGUCUAUGUGAUGCUAUUCUUGCAAUUGCUCUGUUUCAAUCGUUAAAACUCUGUUUUAGGCUUAGUGUUUAAUAUUUUUUGGUGGUACUGAAGUACAAGUACAUGAAUAAGUAACGCCUAUGUUUGCGUACUGGCUCCUUUGCUACAAGGAAUCGAAGAGAAACGAUUCCUUGCUUCAUACAUAAUUUUAGUUUGGCUUCCUUCCUCUGUAUCAUUAAAAGCUUUUUCUAUCAAUCAUCGCUCCAUUUAUGUAGAUGGGAAUCAAAAUGAUGAACUUCGAGGAAAAUAUGAGAAUCCCUCAAUAAUAUUUUAGUUUUGUUGGAUGGCGACGUGGGUGGGUGGCUAGUAUUGGGCGGUGGGAUAUGAUUAAAUCACCACUUACUAUUUACCUUUAGAAGAAGAGACCUGCUUCUUUGAAAUAUUGAUUAUCCAUGCCAGGAAUUUUAUGCUUUUCUGUCAUUUGGUUUCCAAGUGUUGCCAAUAGUUUUCUAAGGUGGCGUUGGUUUCGUUUCUGUUUCUAUUUUUUAUAUAUAUGUAUACGUAUGCUGCCUUAUCUUUUUUUUUUCUUUUCCUAUCACCUGGUUAUUACAAGACACUUUUGUUACUUUUAUCAUCUGAAAAAUCAAAGGAAAUCUUGGCUUCUGUGUAGAAGAGUGACGUUAUCAUCUUCUCAGAGCUUGCAUGAAAAUUUUGUUUGCCUUCCAUCACUAUUUUCCAGCUGUUUUUGCUUAUGUCUUUUUGAGUCAUGGUUUCUCUAGAUUGAGUCUGUUGUUCCAAAUUAACAAGCUGAUCAGUUAAUGUCACUUUGUUAGUACUAAUUAUCUGAUUAAAUUGGAUUCUUUAUAUCAUGUUGUUCAGAUUAGUUCUUACUUAAUUUGCAGCUGGAUCUUGAUACAGAAGAUACCAUACAAUACAAUUACACCAUUAUCUGAUGAACUAAAUUAAGGAUGAUGUACAAACAAGUGUUUUUAUAUAACGUGAAUCUUGAUUAUGUUUGUUGUUGUCUCAUUCUUUGACUACCAACUUCUACUUUUUCUUCCUUGAGGGGCCUUCUCUGCUAGUGACUACAAUAAAUUAAUGACAAUGACUAGAUAAUUCAAAUCAAAUCAUUCACACAUGAUUUUCGUGGCAUUAAUUAGAUCGAUGCCACCAAUAUUCUAGAAAUAAGGGAUUUUUCCAUUUUAGUUUUAUUCUUGAUCACAAAAUUGAUAAUUAUGGUCAUCAAGAAUUAAUUAGUCAAGAGGUGGGUGAAUGGUUGAUGAAGCAAGUAGGCUUUGUGAUUAGUUGGAUUCUGUGUUGGCCUAAUGCUCACCAACCAUUUACUGUUCCUCUUUCUACAAAAUAGAUAAAUUGCAAGCCUCACAAGUAAGUAGAUUAAGUAGGAAAUUCUACCACUUGAGUAGAUCAAUCUGAUAGUUUAACUCUUUGUGAAUAUUUAGUACUUUGACAUUUUGUAGAUUUGAAGUUUUGAAGAAAUUUAUGCAGAAAGAUUUCUGUAAGACUGAUAUAGUUUUUAUGAUCAAUAUGCUUGCAAGGCAUGGAUUUCUUUAAUGUCUCACAUAUAUAAAUAUUAUAACUCACUAGGAACAUUAAUAUGUGAAAUUCUUACCUCAACCUACGUAUUUAUGACUUGAAUUUAUAAUGAAUUCAGAUAAGUUUUUCCCCAAUAGUAUUCUAUCUAAUUUGUGAUGCUUCUGUGAAACUUAAUGCAAUUUGUAUUUGUUUGGAGAUGUAAUAGUGGGGACCCAUGUUUCAAUUAUUAUAGCCAUCUUGCCCUCUGGUGCCUGGUGACCCAUGUUUUUCUGCCUUGAGCUCUUCAAGACAUCUAAGAAAAUAGAAAUAGCCAUAUUUGGAAAAUUUUUAAUUUAUUUUUUGGUUUAUGAAUAGGAUUAGAACUUUAAUCUUUAACCAAAUUAAGAGGUACACCUGCCAUCAGGCUAAACCUGCAGUUUUUUACUUGUUUAUUUUUGUUGUAGUGUCAUUGAUCUUAUUUUUUGUUAAACAAUUUAUGUCUGACCUCUAUUGUUUGGCAUAUGCUUUCAGAUAUAGGCAGCAAAGGAAAGCUUUUGUGAAAUGGACGCCAUGGCUACAGAGCAGUAUAUUGAAGAAGCAGUAGCUGAAAAUGAUUAUAACAGAGAGGAUAAAUCUCCUCUAGACAUCUGCAAGUCUUCUGACACUCUCGUAGAUUCCGAUGAUAGCCCCUGUAAUGGAUUCGAUUGCAAUAUUUGCCUGGAUUCUGUACAGGACCCAGUGGUGACACUUUGUGGUCACCUUUACUGCUGGCCCUGCAUGUACAAAUGGCUUCAUUUCCAGAGCAUCUCCACAGAAAACGAAGAUCUGCAGAUGCAGCAGCAAUGUCCUGUAUGCAAGGCUGAAGUUUCUGAAGACACCUUGGUUCCACUCUUUGGACGAGGCCAAACAACAAAACCCUCUAAAAGCAAAGCCCCCAAUCUGGGAAUAAUUAUUCCUAGAAGACCUCUUGGUCUUGCAUGUGGAUUUGAUUCACUAAGAUCAUCUUUUACCACAAGUAGUAAUCCACGUCCAACCCAUCAAACUUAUAAUCGUGAUUAUUCUCCUCAUCAAUCUCAACUAUACUACUCUCAGCCUGGAAUAAGUUACCCUCCUGCUUCUUCAAUGCUUACCCCACGAGUUGCAACAGCGAACAUGUACGAUCCAAUGAUAGGAAUGUUCGGGGAGAUGAUUUAUGCAAGGGUCUUUGGUAACUCCAUAACCAAUAUUUACAGCCACCCUAAUUCGUAUAAUCUUACAGGAAGCAGCAGUCCUAGAAUGAGAAGGCACAUUUUGCAGGCUGACAAGUCCCUUAGCAGAAUCUGCUUUUUCCUCUUCUGUUGUGUAUUUUUGUGUUUCCUCUCAUUUUGAUAUGUUGUUUAUAUAUAUAUAUAUAUUCACAAAGUACAUGAUAUACACAGAAUCAGCCGGAUGUAUUUGAUGCCAUAGCUAUUGCAUAUCCUGUGCUGUGCAUGCGGUAUUUGUAAUUAGUUAAAAGAGUCUUUUCUUGAGCUUAAUGAUUGAAUUAAUCUUCUCAUUUAUUUUAAUGAAGUUCAAGAGUUGGAAUAA